GGAGGGGGCCAGAAGGCGGCUCUUCUGUCCUGAGGCGCCCCUGGUGGGGAGGUGAGCGAGGGCAGGACGGAGAUGGGACCCUUGACAGCUCCAGGCCCGGCAGAGGCGGGGCGGUGAUGGCAGCGAGCGGGAGGAGCCCGCGCGUCAGCAAGGCCGAGAAUAAAGAGCCCCGCUGCUCAGGGCCGAGCCGGGCUCCCACCUCCAGACGCCAGGCUCCCCGCGCCCACGUUGCUGGUGAGGCGUGGGACCCGGUUCCAGGCUGCUGUCUGCGCGUCACUGUGUGCGGCCCGCCCUGCAACGCGGUGGGGGAAGGGAGGCCCGCAGGUACAGACAAGGAGGGAAGCGCGCGGAGUCCAACCCGGAGGGCGAAAGUGGCUCUCGGUGCGCCCGCCUUUCCCGAGGAACGGACAGCAACCCUUCAAAACACCCGCGCGCGCCCCACCGCCCGCUUCCCCGGGCUGAAGGAACACGCAAAUGAGUGCCUGUCCGUAGUGUCCCCGUGAGUUUGGGGCGCCCCUCAGAGGCGGCUUGGGGAACUUCGGGGCCAUGACGUCACGAUGGGGCGGUAGUCGGGUCUCCACGUCCGCCCCCUGAGGAUGGCCUUUCCCAGCCCCUGUCCGGAUGUCAGGUCUUCAGCUCCCUGCCUGCUUGAGAGGCGGGACGUCCACACCAAUCCCAGCUCACCCACCGAGGCCAGGACCCCAAAGGCGACCCUUUCCACGGCCAAGUUCACUCCCUCGCACGCCCAUCCCUCCACUUCGGGCAGUUUCAGGUCUGCCCCUAACCACCAGCGGCCACCCCACUGAGACUGGCCCCUUGCAUCCUGGACCUGGUCACGGCCCCAUGCCCCCGAAGACCACCACCUGCUCCUCCUAGAGUCUGCCGGCCCUUUCUGGGGACGAAGAGGAAGCUUUGGGCAGAGGAAAAAUGGGCCCACAUACUAAACCCCUAAACCUGCCAAGCUCACGGGAAGACCUGCAGCUUCCUGGACAAAGGUCGAUGUUUACUUGACAAAGGGCAGCGCUGAACCGGAAGGGAGCCAGUCUGUGGCCUCUUUGCAUCUAAGGUGACAACAGACCUUUGAAAUAUCAGAGUAAUGUCCUUUCCAGCCCCCAGAAGGCACACCCGGUGCAAGGCCACAGUGGCUCUCCCUCCGUUCUGUCCCAGAGGUUUCCCGCUCUGCCUCCUCCCAGCCCUGCAGCCUGGUGCCCGGCACCUCCUCCCCGUCUCCUCCUCCAGUUCGAUUCUGAUGCGCAACAGGAGCUGCAAAGAUGCCUUUCUCUGCAGCUUGUUCUCGAUCCUGAGAUUCUGCCUCCCAGCAACUGUCAGUUGGGCUCAAAUAAACUCAUCAAAAUUC